UCCCGUCCGGUUAUCUGCGCAUCGCUC
rnacentral:sRNA from 1 species